rnacentral:rRNA from 1 species
UACGGAGGGGGCUAGCGUUGUUCGGAAUUACUGGGCGUAAAGCGCACGUAGGCGGCGAUUUAAGUCAGAGGUGAAAGCCCGGGGCUCAACCCCGGAACUGCCUUUGAGACUGGAUUGCUUGAAUCCUGGAGAGGUGAGUGGAAUUCCGAGUGUAGAGGUGAAAUUCGUAGAUAUUCGGAAGAACACCAGUGGCGAAGGCGGCUCACUGGACAGGUAUUGACGCUGAGGUGCGAAAGCGUGGGGAGCAAACAGG